UUGGGUUUCCAUUCCAUUCAGUUGUUAAGUAAAAUUCAAAUUGAAAACAUGGCAAAAUACAGUGCUCGUUCUACAAAAAUUUCACGUGAUAUUUUUAUUAAAGACAAGGACUUUUACAUUACGAUAUACACAACUAGAGAAGAAAUGAACGCAUAAUAUUGAGAUGUUAGUAUAGUUAAAUGGCAGCGCUAUUCCCGAAUGCUGAUAUUUUACUCAACGGUAUACACAGGUUUAGAUUAGUUAACUUAAAAUCAAAAACAUGAGAAUGGGAUCCAGCGCUUUAUAAAUGUGUAAUAAACACAGUUUCAUAUCAGAAUGCAGAUGCAGGAGUUCCUUUCGACCAUAAAAAGUAACCACAAUAUCAAGUCAUCACGGCUAAAAGUGGGGUGCCGUUGCAUUAGUUUCUUAUAAUUUAUUUUGUUUUAAAAACGUAUCAUGUGAGGGGUCGAGGUUUCAUUAAAUGUAAUACCUA